AAAAUUGACUAUAAAGGGCAAUAACUCCUUAAGGGGUCAAUUGACCAUUUAGGUCAUGUGGACUUAUUUGUAGAUCUUACUUUGAUGAACAUUAUCGCUGUUUACAGUUUAUCGCUAUCUAUAAUAGUAUUCAAGAUAAUAACCAAAAACAGCAAAAUUUCUUUAAAAAUUACCAAUUGGAGGGCAGCAACCCAACAACUGGUUGUCCAAUUCAUUUGAAUAUUUCAGGGCAGAUAUAUAUUGACUUGAUUAACAAUUUAACUCCUUGUCAGAUUUCCUCUAAAUGAUUUGGGUUUCAGAGUUAUAAGCAAAAAACUACAUUU
rnacentral:lncRNA from 1 species